AAAAAGACAAACUCUGGUUUCCGUGUCCAACGUUUGACCGUCCGUCUUAUUUGAAAAAAAUAUGAAAAAUUUUUAAAAAGACAAGUCACGCAUAAAGUAUUAAUCAUGUUUUAUCAUCUAACAACAAUGAAAAUACUAAUUAUAAAAAAUUUCAUAUAAGACGGAUAGUCAAACGUUGGACACGGAAACCUAGGGUUUGUUUUUUU
rfam:Oryza sativa Japonica Group DNA, chromosome 1, cultivar: Nipponbare, complete sequence.